GCACAGAAGACGAAGAGCUGGAAUAGAGCUCGCCUCGGCUCUGCUGGCCUUGGCUGCAGCUCUUCCAGAAACCCGGGGCGCCCACAGAAGAAUCUCUUACCUGGCUCUCUCUUCAGGGAUGACAUCAUCGGCUCACACCAGUCUUCCAGGACCACCUUCUGGAUGCCAAGGCUGCUGCUCGAGUACCUGCUGUGCACCUCUACCUCCUGAGCCAAGGAGCACGGAUUCCAGGAACCCACUACCAUACAGAGCAACUCCUUGUGGACCCCCCUGGGAUCAGGACAGCGAGGGACAAGCGACAAAGAGGAUCAUCAGUGGCCAGCUAGUUUCUCUGGGGUUCAAACCUUGAACCAGUGCCCUAGUGAGGGGGCACUGGCCAUGGCCCUUGACCUUUGCUCUGCUUGUGUCUUGAGUCUGAGCCCUUUCCUGUACAUCUGUGCUCGUGUUCAUCUGCUAGUGAACUGGAGUGCUGCCCUCCCCGAGGAGGGUCGUCCCUUGUGACUGAUCAUGCUGUCCUAACAAUGUCCUGAGCAAAAGGGUCCCUUUGGGAACCUCUCAGGAGGGGGACCCGGGUCAGGGGCGACCAGCAUCUUGCUGGCAACUCCGUGGGUGGGGUGGGGUGGGGUGCUUCCUUCUGGAAUGAGCACGUGGCUGACCCCCCAAGGCAUGUCCCCUCCCCCUCCUCCACCCACCUUCUCGGAGAUGUCCCUUUUGGGGUAGUGGGGACAUUAGGAGCAACCUCCUAGGGUUGUUGUGAGAAUUAAAUGAACUGCAGCAGCCUGAGGCAGGGCUGGGCAGAGACCUCAGCACAUGUUUGUUGAAAGGUUUGCAGGUGGAUCUAGUCCUCCCGUUCAUGGCUCAUGUGUCUCAACCAUUCUCUCGCAGACUCCUGCAGCCCCUAUGCCCAGGGCUCUCCUUGCGCCAGCCCCGGCUUCUCGAGGCCUGUCUACACUCGCUGCUUUCCUUCCUCACCUCCAAUUUCCCCUCCAACCCACUGCUUCCUGACUCGCUCUUCUCCAUCGAACGGCUCUCGCUCAGGUUUAAGGCUUGGCUUGCUGGCCCUGGAGAUCCCGUCGCCGUCUUCGUCGAACUCGAAAUCCUAGCCAUCGUCCUUCCCUGGCCUGUCGCGUCUUCCUGUGCCAUUUGCUGUUGUGCUCAGGUUCCACGAGCUGCCCAUCUCCACAGAAGAGCAGCUGGCAUUGCCCACCGGCCAUGCCGGCUGAAGAAAAGAAGACUGAGGACCCCAGGAUGCCCAGCGCGAGGACCCCAGGAAGCCCAGCGCGAGGACUCCACCCACGACGCCCAGCGCGAGGACUUCACGCACAACACGUUGCAACCCUCCUGGAUUAGGCCAAAGCCAUCAUCUGGAAUCCUGCGUGGGACCCUGGACACACGGACACAGACACCUGCCCCCAGGACCCUCCAACUGUAAAUCGAUUGGAAGCGCCCUUGUGAGCUGGGGCCUUCAAAGGGCUGAGGAGAAAAUGCAGGCCGAGAGACCAGCUUCUCAAAUAGGCUUCAAGCCUCCAUGACCUGAGCUCACCCCCUGGAAAUGUCUGGAAAACAUAAUGGGCAGGUUUUCUGUCUUCAAAGUUUCCAUCAAAACCUCUUCAAGUUCUUUAUUGUUUAGGACUGAGACACUUGGGGACAGUAAUGGGGACUUUCUUUUGUAUCUGUCUUGAAAGGCCAAAAUAUUUUUAUAUUGCUGUAGACAAAGCCACCUAUUUACAAAUGGACUCUUGUUCCGUCGUUUCCCACCAGGAAGACCGUACUAUGUUUGUGUCUCUAUGUAUUCUGGGGUCUUGAAACAGGUUUCUCAUGGGGAUGGCCAUUCACUAGAGCCCAGAGGGGCAGAAGGGGAAGUGUCUACCCUGCCAAGGGGGUCUGGGGAAGGAGGGGGGCUAGUCUCAGAUUUGCUCCUUGUAUGUCUAGGGUAAACCCUGGGAGAAUCUGGUGGUAAAAGAACAUAUGCUGUGUUUGCCCCACAUCUGCCAUUUGUGUGUGUUUCUGGGCUACGGGUUUGCACACUUUGGUGGUUAACAUGGUGGGAGGAAGUAAGAAGGGCCAAGAGGGCACGGGUGCUCUGGUUUUCCUGCUGGGAGGCUGUUUCACUGGUGUGUGUUACAUCACAUAAUGCAUGUUUAGCUGGGUGAGUGACAACAGUAUGAAGGGACAGAGAAACAAAUAGGUGUAGAAAGAGAGUCACAGAGCACACAGUCACCAUUCUGUGCCCAGGCGUUCAUUAAAUGUUCAAUAGAAUGCUGAGCUCUGAUAGACAGAGCGGGCCAUGGACACACUGGUAUUGGGUCAUCAUGGACCUAAGGAGUUUUUUUAAUUGAAGAAGGAAUCUUACAUAACAGAAGAAAGAAUAAGAAGAGCUGUCAAAACGAGCUCUGAGGUUUUUGAAGCCCCUUAAUAUAAACAGACAGACAAUGGCGUGAUCAGGAAAGGGAGAAAACAAACAAACAAACAAACAAGAUGCUUACAGAAAUACGAGAGGACGUGUGAGCAUGCAAAGAGAACCCAGCUAGGUUAGUAUCGGGGUGCUGGUGGAUCGUUAAUCCUGUCUGGGUACCCCAGCUCCAAGGGGAUGAGAGGCAGCAAGUGAGAGGACACAUAGGAAACUGUAACAAGACAGAGGCGAGCAGAUGGGGAGCUUCAGCGGAGUGUUAAGCUAGGCUUCGCAAUCUGACCACUUAACUCUCCCAGCAAAGAAAAGAAAGGCUUAAAUACUAAAAAGAAGGAAAGCUGGAAGAAAGGAUGGUAGAUGUGAAAGGCAUAGAGGAUAGAAAGCAAUAGGGAGUGGAGUGCAGGUGCUGUGGAGAGACGCUUGCAGGUGACUCAAUUCACCAGCCUGUGCAGCUGAGAAAGACAGCCAGUGACAAA
rnacentral:lncRNA from 1 species